rnacentral:lncRNA from 1 species
CUUGUAUUUAUAUUUACAUCAAGAAUUCCGACUUGUAUCUAUGAGUCACUGUUAUCAGUGUUUAACAUCAGUCCUUUUAUGGCUUAAUUUAUCAUUUUUUGAAUUUGUUACUAACGUAUGUCCUGCUCCAAUGUACAUUUUUAAAGAUGGAUGGGCAAUAUAAUUUUUGUAUAUUUGAUUUUAUGAGAAUGUCUUCAUUUUAUGUAACUUUUUCACAUAUUCUUAUUUUUGUAUUUCCUAUCUACCUUAGACAAAUGGAGGGAAGCUGGAAGCGACCUCAGCUUCAUUAUAACAGGAGUCAUUUCUCUUUGCUCUCCCCUUUGAUUAGCAACUAUUUGGACAUCCAUAACCAAAUGAAAAGACUCUACAUUACACAGGAACAUCCAGGAAGUUUCUACCCAGCUGUGCAUUCAAGAGUGGACAGAUAGGACCUCAAGCAGGGAUUAUGGAUCCAGAGAGUCCACGAGCCUGCUCUACCUCCACUAUCCCAGAGAAGGAAAAAGGCAACCUGAAGAGUACAGAACUAAGCAGAUACCCAUAGGUAAGGGAGAUUUUGUGGAAGUCCAGUGUGCCUAAAGGGCGAAUCUGACAAGCCACUGGAGUAGGACAAAGAAGAGUUCGGAUGCAGAGGAAAAGAUGGUCCCCCUCCCCCCCACCCCCGCCCUAGGGGACACUAAAAGCAGCUGUGUUUCUGGCUGUGGCAGUGGCUACCUUGGCAACAGAGGUGGAGAGGGGCGAACUCUCCUACAGAGGAGGCGGGGAGCCAAAGUGUCUAUGAUUAAUGGAGGACACAGACCAGUCCAUGGAUAACCUGAUGACAUGGAAGUGGUCUUAUUAGGAGUCAAUCUACUCAACAAUAUCAUUGACCACCUACCAGGUCUCAGAAGCCUUUGCUACGGGUUUUUAACUAUCUACAUGCUCACCUUCAACUCUGGACCAGCUCGGCCACCUGUUCCAAAUGCAACAUGGAAGUGUGGUCAUGAAGUACAUUAUUGGGUUCACCAUUGCCAUACCUCCUACCAAUCCAGACAACUUACUGGACACUGUCAUUACUUCAUAAAAGCAGCAGUACAGUUAGGCAUUCCCAUCUUAAGCUCAUUAAAUAACAAGGGGGUGGAGAAAGAGCAAGGGUUCUCCACAAAUGCGGUUCCUGUGACCAUGGCCUUCAUGUGCAUGCUUGACGGUAUAAACUCGGCAGCAGUGGUUCUCAGCAUGAGCAGCACAUUUGAAUCACCCAGAGAGCUUUUAACAUGUGCUCAAGGCAAGCCCACCCCCGGCCAGUUACAUGAAAAUCACUAUGGGUAGGUCGCAGGCACUGGUCACUUUUAAAGCUUCCUCCUCAUCCUAAGGUACAACUCAGUGCAUUUUUUGCUGCGUAUUAUUUUCACGGAUCAUAAAUCCUCAUGGUUUCCAGAAUAACUGCUCUCAAUGCCUUCUGAAAUUUUAGGGCUGUCCACUCCCACUGUUCCCAUUUAUUUGUUGCACUAUUUGUCACUACAGAGGACCCUAAAUCUGUGUUAAAAGGAAACUUGCAAGUCAGAAAUAUAGAAGACUCUAAGAAUAGAAAGAGCUCUGGAAAGAAAUUGUCUGUUGCCUGAAGAUAGGUUCUGCAUCAAGCAUUAGCCUUAGUCUAGUCAUUCUCCCUAAAGACUCGGCAAUUGUGUCUAAGUGUUUUUAUGUAACCCCCCAAAAGAGGGGUGCCCUCUAGACCAGAAUUAGCACAUUGCAUCCACAAGGCAGUACAAAUAGAUGUCUAAAGCGCCUUGACAAAAGGUGUUUUGCUUAUAUUUCUUGAAAAGUUGCAGAAAAUUAUACAGCAUAAAACAGCAAAAUAUGCUUAAAAAUGC